CAGAAUCAUGUUGAGGUGCUGAUCAUAAGCCUGAGGAGGGGAAAAGCAACACAAACGUCAACUGGGAGGAAGUUCGCAGUUUUACAGACCUUUCCAUCCUCCAUGACUGCAGCGACACAAUCAGUGUAACUGCGCAGCGGUAAGUGACACAUUUAACCUCAAAUGUAUUCAUCUGUGGCCACUUUCGCCGCAUGUUUAACAUAUGAGCCUUAUGCGUGAAGACGGUUUUGGUUAUUUGGAGUGACGGUGACGCCAGGAGCGUCGCCCUAAAUGAAAGAAUCAAGGCUGUUUGUGCACAAUGACGACAUUCAGAAUGAGCAACGCCAAUUUGGUGGCUGAUGUAGGAGCCAGUGUCGUGUUGUUUAGGCAUUCACUUAGAAAUGUUCGGCUCCAGUUCGGAGGUCAUUGCGUGACGCGUGUCUCUAGUGUCACGUGUGCGUGCGUCCUUCAGACAGAAAUGAUCAGAUUGAAGACUGAAGUAAUGUUUUUAUUUUUUAUUUUAAGUUAAUAAUAUUAAAUUUGAAUAUGAUUUAUGCUGCAUUUUGUUAAUGUAGAAACACACCGUUUUACUUUUUGAUUCCACGGCAUUUUCUGCAAAAUAUGUUCAUCCUUUGAUCCUCAACUACGUCAAAUUCAGAGAGCACAUCCUUAAUAUUAAUUAUUUGUAAUAUAUCUAUUAAUGUGUUGCUUUCAUCGUACGUCCAGUUGUCUCAAAGUCAAAGAGAAGUUAAAAUCAACUUAUUGACGAUUAUGUAACCUUCCUUAGUUCCAAAACUCAUAACAUAUCAAACUAAUCAGAGAUCAUCUUUUUCUAUUUUGCGUUUACAUCGGUUACUUGUAAACUGUGUGUUGUCUUGUUGUCGUUUUCCUGUGUUUGCCGUAAAGAGCCCCGUGCGCCUCCUCUCCCAGUUCAGCCCAGUGCUCCAUACUGGGUGCUGGUGCAGGCGGAGGAGGCAGAGCAGAGCAGUGGAGAAACCCAUUCCACCCUCAGCUGCAGCGUAGCUCCGAGGUGGAAGAGAUCCCUGCCACAGUCGGUUCACGUCUUUAAUGUGCACGCAUUUUGAAAGGGCUUUUUAAAAAAGUUUGUCCAUUAUCCCCCUCUCCCCCCCCCCCCCCCCCCCUCUCCCUGCUCCUUCGUCACAUGCUGCUGGACCCGAUGUGGCCCCCGCCGGACACAAGAUGGCACCCGGCGGCACAAGGAUGAAGAAGUCGAGCAUUAGUGACGCGUUUGUUUACAUAAAUUUCACUGCAUAUAUCUAGUAAAAAGCCCUCUUUAAUAAAAGGCUA